AUGAAAUGUGUGAUGAAAUGGUACAGUUUUGAGGAGGCUAGGGUUCUCUACUGUGAGGAUUCAUCUUCUACGAACAAAUUCCCUCUUCUCUCUCGCGGCGCUCAUCGCUUCUCCUCGCCUCUUCGUCCGUCUCAUUCACCUCCGAUUUCCACCGCCUCCGUGAUAACCCCGUCUCUCAUCCGCUUCGCUCAACAACUUCGUUCCCCCCCUCUUCGUUACCGCUCGUACUUCGAUUCUUGUUUCGAUUCACAAGUUUUGGUUUCACAACGUUCAAAUUCAACAAAACUUUACACUAUGGCAGCAAGAACGAAAAAUGCUUAA